CCCUUAGAUGUCCUGGGCCGCACGCGCGCUACACUGAUGCAUUCAACGAGCCUAUCCUUGACCGACAGGUCCGGGUAAUCUUUGAAUCUGCAUCGUGACGGGGAUAGAUUAUUGCAAUUAUUAAUCUUCAACGAGGAAUGCCUAGUAGGCGCAAGUCAUCAGCUUGCGUCGAUUACGUCCCUGCCCUUUGUACACACCGCCCGUCGCUCCUACCGAUUGGGUGUGCUGGUGAAAUGUUCGGAUCGGCCGUUUGUCGCGGUUUCCGCGGCUCGUGGCUGAGAAGUUCAUUAAACCCUCCCACCGAGAGGAAGGAGAAGUCGUAACA
rnacentral:rRNA from 1 species